CCUACGGGCGGCAGCAGUGAGGAAUAUUGGUCAAUGGGCGAGAGCCUGAACCAGCCAAGUCGCGUGAAGGACGACGGUUCUAUGGAUUGUAAACUUCUUUUGUAGAGGAAUAAUUGCAGCUACGUGUAGCUGAAAUGCAUGUACUCUACGAAUAAGUAUCGGCUAACUCCGUGCCAGCAGCCGCGGUAAUACGGAGGAUACGAGCGUUAUCCGGAAUUAUUGGGUUUAAAGGGUGCGUAGGUGGCGUAUUAAGUCAGUGGUGAAAAGCUGCAGCUCAACUGUAGUCUUGCCGUUGAAACUGAUAUGCUAGAGAGGAGACGAGGUAUGCGGAAUGUGUGGUGUAGCGGUGAAAUGCAUAGAUAUCACACAGAACGCCGAUUGCGAAGGCAGCGUACCAGGCUCCGUCUGACACUGAAGCACGAAAGCGUGGGGAUCAAACAGGAUUAGAUACCCGGGUAGUC
rnacentral:rRNA from 1 species